CGAGGAGCAGACUGCAAAGCGUCGUAAAAAGCGCCAGAAAUGAAAAGAGAAGGAAUUACUGGCAGAGAAGAUAAAACUUGAGCAGAAGAAUGAAGAAGAAGGGGUGGGUACGGGGACAGCAUCAACCGUGCUGCCAGUCCUGCUCACUGGAUCCAUCAGAGUCUUCCUGGAGCUAUAGGCUGAG